rnacentral:rRNA from 1 species
AGUUUGAUCUUGGCUCAGGACGAACGCUGGCGGCGUGCCUAAUACAUGCAAGUCGAGCGCGGGAAGCAAACUGAAGCCUUCGGGCGGACGUUUGUGGAACGAGCGGCGGAUGGGUGAGUAACACGUGGGCAACCUGCCUGUAAGAUUGGGAUAACUUGCGGAAACGUGAGCUAAUACCAAAUAAAGCUUCAUAUCACCUGAUGUGAAGAUGAAAGAUGGCUCCGGCUAUCACUUACAGAUGGGCCCGUGGCGCAUUAGCUAGUUGGUGGGAUAAAAGCUUACCAAGGCAACGAUGCGUAGCCGACCUGAGAGGGUGAUCGGCCACACUGGGACUGAGACACGGCCCAGACUCCUACGGGAGGCAGCAGUAGGGAAUCUUCCGCAAUGGACGAAAGUCUGACGGAGCAACGCCGCGUGAGUGAUGAAGGUCUUCGGAUCGUAAAACUCUGUUGUCAGGGAAGAACAAGUGACGUUCGAAUAGGGCGUGACCUUGACGGUACCUGACCAGAAAGCCCCGGCUAACUACGUGCCAGCAGCCGCGGUAAUACGUAGGGGGCAAGCGUUGUCCGGAAUUAUUGGGCGUAAAGCGCGCGCAGGCGGUCCUUUAAGUCUGAUGUGAAAGCCCACGGCUUAACCGUGGAGGGUCGUUGGAAACUGAGGGACUUGAGUACAGAAGAGGAGAGUGGAAUUCCACGUGUAGCGGUGAAAUGCGUAGAGAUGUGGAGGAACACCAGUGGCGAAGGCGACUCUCUGGUCUGUAACUGACGCUGAGGUGCGAAAGCGUGGGUAGCAAACAGGAUUAGAUACCCUGGUAGUCC